rnacentral:rRNA from 1 species
GACGAACGCUGGCGGCGUGCCUAAUACAUGCAAGUUGAGCGCUGAAGGUUGGUACUUGUACCAACUGGAUGAGCAGCGAACGGGUGAGUAACGCGUGGGGAAUCUGCCUUUGAGCAGGGGACAACAUUUGGAAACGAAUGCUAAUACCGCAUAAAAACUUUAAACACAAGUUUUAAGUUUGAAAGAUGCAAUUGCAUCACUCAAAGAUGAUCCCGCGUUGUAUUAGCUAGUUGGUGAGGUAAAGGCUCACCGAGGCGAUGAUACAUAGCCGACCUGAGAGGGUGAUCGGCCACAUUGGGACUGAGACACGGCCCAAACUCCUACGGGAGGCAGCAGUAGGGAAUCUUCGGCAAUGGACGAAAGUCUGACCGAGCAACGCCGCGUGAGUGAAGAAGGUUUUCGGAUCGUAAAACUCUGUUGGUAGAGAAGAACGUUGGUGAGAGUGGAAAGCUCACCAAGUGACGGUAACUACCCAGAAAGGGACGGCUAACUACGUG